GGGGCUGGAUGGGGUACUGGUGUCCCCCGCGGUCUUCAAAACCGUUUGAGAGGCGCGUGCCGUCUCUGGUGGGUUCGAUUCCCACACAGUCCCGCCA
rnacentral:tRNA from 1 species